rnacentral:rRNA from 1 species
AAAUUGAAGAGUUUGAUCAUGGCUCAGAUUGAACGCUGGCGGCAGGCCUAACACAUGCAAGUCGAGCGGCAGCGGGAAAGUAGCUUGCUACUUUUGCCGGCGAGCGGCGGACGGGUGAGUAAUGCCUGGGGAUCUGCCCAGUCGAGGGGGAUAACUACUGGAAACGGUAGCUAAUACCGCAUACGCCCUACGGGGGAAAGCAGGGGACCUUCGGGCCUUGCGCGAUUGGAUGAACCCAGGUGGGAUUAGCUAGUUGGUGAGGUAAUGGCUCACCAAGGCGACGAUCCCUAGCUGGUCUGAGAGGAUGAUCAGCCACACUGGAACUGAGACACGGUCCAGACUCCUACGGGAGGCAGCAGUGGGGAAUAUUGCACAAUGGGGGAAACCCUGAUGCAGCCAUGCCGCGUGUGUGAAGAAGGCCUUCGGGUUGUAAAGCACUU